rnacentral:lncRNA from 1 species
UGCCAGAAAUGAUGCAAUAAGAAAAUGAUUGUUUAGUGUUUGGGGAAAUUCCAGGCAAAUUGGGUACCAAGGGAAAAUCCACAGUAGGUCUUUGAAUCCAGGCCCAUAGCUGGUCCUUCUUCCCCCAAGGCAAGUUCUUUGGAAGGUUUAGUCAGCAAAGCCCUCUGAUAAGUAGAUGUCCUUUUGGAGGCCAUAUGUGCAUGCUGAGAGAAGUUUUUGACCCUGGUCCUGCUGCAUCAGCUCUGGAGCUCAAGUUACUACGUGUCGUGUCAUAGGCUUUUGUUCAAAUAUCUGACUAUUUGUAAUUGGAGUCAGUGGAAAGUGCUAGCGGUAACAGGGAGUUGGAUUUGGCCUUGCUUUUUGAAGAAUGGAACAAUGGGAAUGAAUUAAACACCCGUUACAUAGACUUCCUUGACGUCUUCUCUGCUGUCUCAGGACAUGCCGAUGCAGGGCUGAUGAUAUCUCAGUGGAGAAGAAACAUGC